rnacentral:lncRNA from 1 species
AUGAUAUGGAGAACUGUUCUGUUGUCCCCAGCUGGACUAGACUUUCCUCUUAGGUCCGUCGACGCUAACCGGAGCCCGACGACGCCUCUUCUUCCGAUCCUCCUCUUCCAAGGCCAUGGAAGCCCAUCAACCAUCCCUGUGCUAGCGGAAGGCAAUGAUCUCUCUUCCCUCCACAACAGCCAUCUCUUUUUAUUCCUCUUAGUCCAUUGCCCGCUUUUAUUCGUUCCUAGUUUGUCUUAAUUUUCUUAGCAAUUAGUAGAGAUGUGCCCAGAGAGAUCUCCCAAGGGAUCGCUCAAACUGUCGUGUGAGGCUCCGGAUUGGAGACUUCCAAUCCAUACGGUGAUUCGAAUCCUUUUCUAAGUUUUUCGCUUUUAAUUCGUUUCUUUUCUGCGGAAAAAUUCCUUUUUCCUUUUGCCCCCUCUCGCUUCCCUUUCUUGCAAGGAUUCAUAGAUUAGAGAGCACAAAUCGAGCAAUGGAGGUCAGAAUUUCUGCAAUUUUUUUCUUAUUUUUAAUACCAGAAAAUUACGUAUAUCUUCAAUUGGAUUUAUGUCUGGUGGAGUUUCUUUCGCAUUGCCAUCAAUCUUAGUUUCUUAUUCUUUUUCAAAAAAAUCGGUUUUUCUUUUCCUAGCCCUAAAAAUUCUCUAAUGAUCUUGAAUUGUGAUACUGUCUCGAUGUAAUUGUUCGUUUAUCUCGCCCUCCUCAGCUCGAAAACAAUUGUUCAAUCGGAUAGAGAAAAACCUAAUCUUAAUAUUUUUCUUUGUAUUCUUGGUAACUGGUUCUAGUUAGAUUUGAGUACUGUGAAUAGUUAGAAAUACUCGACAAUUAGACUAACUAUUAAGAGUCAAGUCCCUUUUACUGAGAGAUAAGGUGGUCCAGCAAAGGGGCAAUCAAGAAAACAGAGAAGUCUGCAAACAGGAAAGCUUCCAAGUCAUUUAAGGAGAAAAGUCACCAAUUCUGUUCCAAAAAAUACUUAUUUUAUGCCAGGCCACUUUUAUUCUUUUAAGUGUGUGACUGAUACCAACAUGAGGUUGCAAUAAGUGGUUAGUUCUAGAGACCUUACCUGUUGAAUUUUGCAAUUAAUCAGCAGUCGGUCAAUAAAGAUUAGGCAAUACCGGUUGUUGGAACUUUAGCUGGGAGGAAGAUAGAGUAUGAGAGCUAGUUCGGUUGGAAUAAUGGAGAAAUAUCGUGGAGGAUAAGAUUUAGGAAUAAAGGGAACCAAAGAUCGAGUCUAGUCAUUCUGUAAAUUUUUAGAGAGGUAAUGCUUUGAUAAAAAAAUUAAUAUACUGUUACCUGUCGUAGUCUCAGGUUUAGUGUACAAAUGGAUGGAGACUUAGUUGAGGAUGUCUUCAAUUUGGAUAAAAUAUGCUGAAGAUUGUGGAUCUAUGGCCCUUUGAAAUAUUCUGUAAUUAUUACAUGUAAGAGAUGCCUCAGCAGCAGAAAGUAUUAUUUGAUUAGCCAUGAUACAGGUUAGAGUGAUGGGUGAUGAGGGCGAUUUGUAUACACAGAAUGGGCUUAGUAGAGAUGAGACACCAAGAGAUGUACAUAUAGAACCAAUAAGAGUGGAAUUGGACUUCUUAUAUAGCACUAAGAGUAACAGGAAAUAGGAUGGAGAACUGAAUUAGAUGGUGUGUGCUUAUAUGUAGCAGAAGCGCAGAAUGGUUCUAUUAAGAGGGAUGGAUGCAUGUCAACUGUCAAGGAUUUUACAAUGAAGACAAGAAGAUCUAAGAAGACUUAGAUGGGCUGAAGGUUUUGAAAAUGCUCAACAUGAUGUACGAUAAAAAUCUUUCUUAGAUUUAUAUUGCAUGCAUGUAUGCUUAUAUGUAUAUGCAUGUGUAUAUGUGGGUGUGCUCGUGUGUGUCUUUGCAAGAAUAUAGCCCAUACCGGAAUACAGUAGAAGUGGUGAUCUGUCCAUGCACAUAGAGCUAAGUAAGCUUAAUUUGAUUUUGGGAAUAUGUACAUAAAUGCUUUUAAUUAUUAUUUUCCCACAUGUUUCUAUGGUGCAUGUUUACUCCAAAAAAUUAAUUUUCUUCAGUUGUAUAAUGUUUUAUUCUUCUACAGUUGCUGGCCUGCGGACUGCAGCUCCUCUGUGAUGACACCGUUCAUCAGGACCAAAGCCACAGGUUUUUACCCGCCUGCCAUCUUCUGCAUAUAUUAGGUUGAUUGAUCUCUGAUUUCCAGCUCUAGUAGUCUAUAGCUCUACAUGGUAAGCCAUUUGAAGCAUCUUGAGGAUUGCAUUUACCUUUUGAUUCUCUCAUAGCACUUUUUCUCAUAAGACAUUUUUGGAUCAUUCAGCUUUGUUCAUUCGAUGCUUGCUUUCUGAAUCUCUGCUAGUCGACAUUUUGGUGUUUGUUUGAAUUAUUCCAGAAGAGCCUAAGAGAAGUUUAUAUUUGUUCGUCCUCUAUCAGAACAAACUUUUCGUUGUAAGUCAGCAUGGUGCUGGUUAGUUUCAAUUUGAAGAGGAUUUUUGUUGACUUCAUAGUGAAUUGGCACUGUUGUGGUUUAAAUUUGGCCUGAGGGUGACCACGCCGGAGGAAGCUGAGAAGAUGCUGGCCAGGACGGAG